rnacentral:rRNA from 1 species
UACGUAGGGUGCAAGCGUUGUUCGGAUUUACUGGGCGUAAAGGCGCGUAGGCGGCCAGCACAAGUCAGUUGUGAAAUCUCCGAGCUUAACUCGGAAAGGUCAACUGAUACUGUGCGGCUAGAGUGCAGAAGGGGCAACUGGAAUUCUUGGUGUAGCGGUGAAAUGCGUAGAUAUCAGGAGGAAUACCGGUGGCGAAAGCGACUCUCUGGACGGCAACUGACGCUGAGGCACGAAAGCGUGGGGGAGCAAACAGG